UCCGGCCGCCAGCCCCAGCCUCCCGGGUCCGGAGCGGGGACUGGCGGAGGCGGCGAGGGGGGAGCGCGAGCGAGGAGGCACGCGCCCGCCCGCCCGUCCGCGCCCAGACCGUCAGCGCCGCCGCCGCCGCCGCCGCCUUAGCAGCCAUGGCCGAGCGCCGCGCCUUCGCCCAGAAGAUCAGCAGAACUGUGGCUGCUGAAGUUAGGAAGCAGAUCUCUGGACAAUACAGUGGUUCUCCCCAGCUGCUCAAAAACCUCAACAUUGUUGGCAAUAUAUCCCAUCAUACCACAGUGCCCCUUACUGAAGCAGUGGAUCCAGUGGAUUUGGAAGAUUACCUCAUUACUCAUCCUUUAGCUGUGGAUUCUGGGCCUUUAAGGGAUUUGAUUGAAUUCCCUCCAGAUGAUAUUGAAGUGGUUUAUAGUCCUAGAGACUGUAGAACCCUUGUUUCAGCUGUACCAGAAGAAAGUGAAAUGGAUCCACAUGUUAGAGAUUGUAUAAGAAGUUAUACAGAAGACUGGGCAGUUGUGAUCAGAAAAUAUCAUAAACUGGGAACAGGAUUUAAUCCUAAUACAUUAGAUAAACAGAAAGAAAGGCAAAAAGGUUUGCCAAAACAGGUCUUUGAAUCCGAUGAAGCUCCAGAUGGCAACAACUACCAGGACGAACAAGAUGAUCUUAAAAGACGUUCAGUGUCAAUAGACGAUACUCCAAGGGGUAGCUGGGCCUGCAGUAUUUUUGACUUGAAAAAUUCACUUCCUGAUGCUUUGCUUCCCAACUUACUUGAUCGAACUCCAAAUGAAGAAAUAGACCGUCAGAAUGAUGACCAAAGGAAAUCAAACCGUCAUAAGGAACUCUUUGCUUUGCAUCCAUCACCAGAUGAGGAAGAACCAAUAGAACGACUUAGUGUUCCUGAGGUGCCCAAAGAACAUUUUGGUCAAAGACUUCUUGUAAAAUGUUUAUCGCUCAAGUUUGAGAUUGAAAUUGAACCCAUUUUUGCAAGUUUGGCUUUAUAUGAUGUGAAGGAAAAGAAAAAGAUUUCAGAAAACUUUUAUUUUGACCUCAAUUCUGAGCAGAUGAAAGGAUUAUUACGUCCACAUGUACCACCUGCUGCCAUUACCACCCUGGCAAGAUCAGCUAUUUUUUCUAUCACUUAUCCGUCUCAAGAUGUCUUUCUUGUAAUAAAGCUAGAAAAAGUGCUACAGCAGGGAGACAUUGGCGAGUGUGCAGAACCAUAUAUGAUAUUCAAAGAAGCAGAUGCCACCAAGAAUAAGGAAAAAUUGGAGAAGCUAAAAAGUCAAGCUGAUCAGUUCUGCCAGAGACUUGGGAAAUAUCGCAUGCCUUUUGCUUGGACUGCCAUCCAUUUAAUGAAUAUUGUUAGCAGUGCUGGGAGUUUGGAAAGAGAUUCUACAGAGGUAGAAAUAAGCACUGGAGAACGAAAGGGGUCUUGGUCAGAGAGGAGAAAUUCUAGUAUUGUUGGCAGAAGAUCACUUGAAAGGACAACAAGUGGAGAUGAUGCUUGCAACUUGACCAGCUUUCGACCUGCUACUCUCACAGUGACAAAUUUUUUUAAGCAGGAAGGAGAUCGCUUAAGCGAUGAAGAUCUGUACAAAUUCCUUGCUGAUAUGAGAAGGCCAUCUUCCGUUUUACGGCGACUAAGACCUAUUACAGCUCAGCUGAAAAUAGACAUUUCUCCUGCACCUGAAAAUCCCCAUUAUUGCCUAACACCAGAGCUGCUUCAGGUGAAGCUUUACCCUGACAGUAGAGUAAGACCUACCAGAGAAAUUUUGGAGUUUCCUGCAAGGGAUGUCUAUGUUCCAAACACUACUUACAGAAACCUUCUCUACAUAUACCCUCAGAGUCUCAAUUUUGCCAACCGUCAAGGUUCUGCCAGAAAUAUAACAGUUAAAGUCCAGUUUAUGUAUGGGGAGGACCCUAGCAAUGCCAUGCCGGUAAUCUUUGGUAAAUCUAGCUGUUCAGAAUUUUCAAAGGAAGCCUAUACAGCCGUAGUAUAUCAUAACAGGUCUCCUGAUUUUCAUGAAGAAAUCAAGGUGAAACUUCCUGCUACUUUAACUGAUCAUCAUCACUUGCUUUUUACUUUUUAUCAUGUUAGUUGUCAACAGAAACAAAAUACUCCCCUUGAAACUCCUGUUGGAUACACAUGGAUACCAAUGCUUCAGAAUGGACGAUUAAAGACUGGGCAGUUUUGCCUGCCGGUCUCACUGGAGAAACCACCACAGGCUUAUUCUGUACUGUCUCCUGAGGUUCCUCUACCUGGCAUGAAAUGGGUAGAUAAUCACAAAGGUGUUUUUAAUGUUGAAGUUGUUGCUGUUUCAUCUAUCCAUACACAGGAUCCUUAUCUUGAUAAGUUUUUUGCUCUGGUGAAUGCUCUGGAUGAACACAUGUUCCCAGUCCGAAUUGGAGACAUGCGAAUCAUGGAAAAUAACUUAGAGAAUGAAUUGAAGAGCAGUAUUUCAGCAUUGAAUUCAUCUCAGUUGGAACCAGUGGUCCGAUUUCUUCAUCUUCUGCUUGAUAAACUGAUACUUUUAGUUGUUAGACCUCCUGUCAUUGCUGGCCAAAUAGUUAAUCUAGGUCAAGCAUCGUUUGAAGCCAUGGCAUCAAUUAUAAAUCGGCUUCACAAAAACUUGGAAGGAAAUCAUGACCAGCAUGGCAGAAACAGCCUUCUUGCAUCAUAUAUCUAUUAUGUUUUUCGCCUACCAAAUACUUACCCUAAUUCACCAUCACCAGGUUCCGGGGGUUUGGGAGGAUCAGUGCAUUAUGCCACAAUGGCUAGAUCUGCUGUGAGACCUGCAAGCCUUAAUUUAAAUCGUUCUCGGAGCCUUAGUAAUAGUAAUCCAGAUAUAUCUGGGACUCCCACGUCACCAGAUGAUGAAGUACGGUCAAUCAUCGGCAGUAAGGGUUUAGAUCGCUCCAAUUCCUGGGUUAACACUGGUGGUCCAAAAGCUGCCCCAUGGGGAUCCAACCCCAGUCCAAGUGCAGAAUCAACACAGGCUAUGGAUCGAAGUUGUAAUCGUAUGUCUUCGCACACAGAGACGUCAAGUUUCUUACAAACAUUAACGGGACGCUUACCAACUAAAAAGCUUUUUCAUGAGGAGCUGGCUUUGCAGUGGGUUGUUUGCAGUGGCAGCGUUCGGGAAUCAGCUUUGCAACAAGCCUGGUUCUUUUUUGAGUUAAUGGUAAAGAGUAUGGUACACCAUUUAUUCUUUAAUGAUAAACUUGAUGCACCAAGGAAAAGUCGUUUUCCAGAACGUUUCAUGGAUGACAUUGCUGCUCUUGUCAGCACAAUUGGCAGUGAUAUAGUUUCACGGUUUCAGAAGGACAUAGAAAUGGUUGAGAGACUCAACACAAGCCUUGCAUUUUUUCUCAAUGAUCUGUUGUCUGUUAUGGAUAGAGGAUUUGUCUUUAACCUUAUAAAGACCUGCUAUAAACAGGUGUCUUCAAAGCUUUAUUCAUUGCCAACUCCAAGUGUCUUGGUGUCCUUGAGGCUGGAUUUUCUGCGAAUCAUUUGCAGCCAUGAGCACUAUGUUACCUUAAACUUACCCUGCAGCCUGCUAACCCCACCUGCAUCACCAUCACCUUCUGUUUCUUCUGCAACAUCUCAGAGUUCUGGCUUCUCCACCAAUGUGCAAGACCAGAAGAUUGCAAAUAUGUUUGAAUUGUCUGUGCCUUUCCGCCAACAGCAUUAUUUGGCAGGACUUGUGUUAACAGAGCUGGCUGUCAUUUUAGAUCCUGAUGCUGAAGGACUAUUUGGAUUGCAUAAGAAAGUCAUCAAUAUGGUACACAAUUUACUGUCCAGUCACGACUCAGACCCACGGUACUCUGACCCCCAGAUAAAGGCUCGGGUGGCUAUGUUGUAUCUACCUCUGAUUGGCAUUAUCAUGGAAACUGUUCCUCAGCUGUAUGAUUUUACAGAAACUCACAAUCAACGAGGAAGACCGAUCUGUAUAGCCGCCGAUGAUUAUGAGAGUGAGAGCGGAAGCAUGAUAAGCCAGACGGUUGCCAUGGCAAUUGCAGGAACAUCAGUUCCUCAACUAACAAGGCCCGGCAGUUUCCUCCUCACAUCAACGAGUGGCAGGCAACACACUACCUUUUCAGCAGAAUCAAGUCGAAGUCUAUUGAUCUGUCUGCUUUGGGUUCUCAAGAAUGCAGAUGAGACAGUUCUACAAAAGUGGUUUACAGAUCUCUCGGUCCUGCAGCUAAACCGGCUAUUAGAUCUGCUUUAUCUUUGUGUAUCUUGCUUUGAGUACAAAGGAAAGAAAGUAUUUGAAAGAAUGAAUAGCUUGACCUUUAAGAAAUCAAAAGACAUGAGAGCAAAACUUGAGGAAGCUAUUCUUGGAAGCAUAGGUGCUAGGCAAGAAAUGGUGCGCCGAAGCCGAGGACAGCUUGAGAGAAGCCCAUCUGGAAGUGCCUUUGGAAGCCAAGAAAAUCUGAGGUGGAGAAAGGAUAUGACUCACUGGCGUCAAAACACUGAGAAGCUUGACAAGUCAAGAGCAGAGAUUGAACAUGAAGCACUGAUUGAUGGAAAUCUGGCUACUGAAGCAAAUCUAAUCAUUUUGGAUACAUUAGAGAUUGUUGUCCAGACAGUUUCUGUAACAGAAUCCAAAGAGAGCAUCCUUGGUGGGGUGCUAAAAGUGCUACUACAUAGCAUGGCCUGUAACCAAAGUGCAGUUUAUUUACAACACUGUUUUGCUACCCAGAGAGCCCUGGUUUCAAAGUUCCCUGAACUCUUGUUUGAAGAAGAGACAGAGCAGUGUGCUGAUUUGUGCCUCCGGCUUCUCCGGCACUGUAGCAGUAGCAUCAGUACAAUACGGUCACACGCUAGUGCCUCCCUUUACCUACUUAUGAGACAGAACUUUGAGAUUGGGAAUAACUUUGCCAGGGUUAAAAUGCAGGUAACCAUGUCACUGUCUUCCUUGGUGGGCACAUCUCAGAAUUUUAAUGAAGAAUUCUUAAGACGUUCUCUAAAGACUAUACUGACAUAUGCUGAAGAAGAUUUGGAAUUGAGAGAAACAACAUUUCCUGAUCAGGUCCAAGAUUUGGUUUUCAAUCUCCAUAUGAUCCUUUCUGAUACUGUUAAAAUGAAGGAACACCAGGAGGAUCCUGAAAUGUUGAUUGAUCUAAUGUACAGAAUUGCCAAGGGCUACCAGACCUCUCCAGAUCUGCGGCUGACCUGGUUACAGAACAUGGCUGGCAAACACUCGGAACGCAGCAACCAUGCUGAAGCUGCGCAGUGCCUCGUUCACUCCGCAGCACUUGUUGCUGAAUAUCUGAGCAUGCUGGAGGACCGGAAGUAUCUUCCUGUGGGAUGUGUAACAUUUCAGAAUAUUUCAUCUAAUGUUUUAGAAGAAUCUGCAGUCUCAGAUGACGUGGUAUCUCCAGAUGAAGAAGGUAUCUGCUCUGGAAAGUACUUUACUGAGUCAGGACUUGUGGGAUUACUGGAACAAGCAGCUGCUUCUUUCUCUAUGGCUGGCAUGUAUGAAGCAGUUAACGAGGUUUACAAAGUACUUAUUCCUAUUCAUGAAGCUAAUCGGGAUGCAAAGAAGCUAUCCACGAUUCAUGGUAAACUUCAAGAAGCAUUCAGCAAAAUUGUUCAUCAGGAUGGUAAGCGGAUGUUUGGCACCUAUUUCCGUGUUGGUUUUUAUGGAACCAAGUUCGGGGAUUUGGAUGAACAGGAAUUUGUUUAUAAGGAGCCUGCAAUAACCAAACUUGCAGAGAUAUCUCACAGAUUGGAGGGAUUUUAUGGAGAAAGAUUUGGAGAAGAUGUGGUUGAAGUAAUCAAGGAUUCUAAUCCUGUAGACAAGUGUAAAUUAGACCCUAACAAGGCAUAUAUUCAGAUUACCUACGUGGAGCCAUACUUUGACACAUAUGAGAUGAAGGACAGAAUCACAUACUUUGACAAAAAUUAUAAUCUUCGUCGUUUCAUGUACUGUACACCCUUCACUUUAGAUGGUCGUGCCCAUGGGGAACUUCAUGAACAAUUCAAACGGAAGACCAUUCUAACUACUUCUCAUGCCUUCCCUUAUAUUAAGACAAGGGUCAAUGUCACUCACAAAGAGGAGAUCAUCUUAACACCAAUUGAAGUUGCUAUUGAAGACAUGCAGAAAAAAACACAGGAGUUGGCAUUUGCAACACAUCAGGAUCCAGCAGACCCCAAAAUGCUUCAGAUGGUACUCCAGGGAUCUGUAGGCACAACAGUGAACCAGGGACCUUUGGAGGUUGCCCAGGUUUUCCUGUCUGAAAUACCCAGUGACCCAAAGCUUUUCAGACAUCAUAAUAAACUGCGACUCUGCUUCAAAGAUUUUACUAAAAGGUGUGAGGAUGCCUUAAGAAAAAAUAAGAGCUUAAUUGGGACAGACCAAAAGGAGUAUCAAAGGGAACUGGAGAGAAACUAUCAUCGCCUUAAAGAGGCCCUACAGCCUCUGAUAAACAGAAAGAUCCCUCAGUUAUACAAGGCAGUAUUACCUGUUACCUGCCAUAGAGAUUCCUUCAGUCGAAUGAGCCUGCGCAAAAUGGAUCUCUAAUAUAAAUGCACUUGUUUUAUUCACUGAAAAAAGCCAUGUAUUCAACAUUGUGAAAAGAAUUUAAGAGCUUUUUCAAGACUUGGGACUUAAUUCUUGAAAUUAUUGCAUUAAUUUACUCGUGGAAGAAUGCAGUGGCCAAACAAUAUCAAAUGCCAAUUUUUGAAGUUUGAGAAUCAUGGCUGUGGUUUCUAAUGUUCUGGUAAUAUGCUGUUAUCUUUUUAAAGACAUUUUAAUGACUCAAAGGUACACUUACAUUUACCAUUAUUUAUACCAUAGCUAAUGUUAAAUUUAUUUACUUUUAAGUUUGUAUUUUUUAAUUUAUAUUACAGUUUAUAGAUUCAUUUUGGAACCAUUUUAAAUGUAGUAAUGCUUAUUUUAAAGGUACUAUUAAAUAUGUGAAUGUUUACACUAAUUUUACUGAGUGAGCCUUUAAAAACUUUUAUUGACAAAAGCAAAGAAUAAGUUAGAGCUGAUUCAAGAAAGUUCCAGAACUAGCAAAAUGAAAAUCAUAAUUGACAGUCAUUUUAUGGGCCCAGAUAAUAGCUCCAAAUUAAAUAAAUGAACAAAUUAAUGGGUGGAAAUAAAUUAUUGAUAACUGGUUUGUAAAGUCUUAAAAUUGGUUUCUAAGGUAUUUUCCAUUUAGACACCCAAAAGAGGGAUUUAGAAUUGCAGAAGUAACUUUACCUGAUAACUUCUGUAAAUAAAUAAAUACAUACUGGGAUAGCUAAUAUGAGUGACAAUAGUUUGAUCUUUGAUUCUCAACCUUAUUAUAGUAAUGAUAGUAGUAUGAGCUGACUCUUCAUGACUAAAAUGAAUGAUUCCUCUGUUUUAAAUUAAAUAAGCCAGUUACUACAUCAGUUUAGUGUUCUAAACAGGUAAAUUAGAAAUCUGCUUUAAACUUGUAUCACCAUAAAAACAAGAGAGCUGGUGUUUGAUUUUAAUCUACCAGCUGAAUAAGAAGUUAUAGUUAUUUUUUGAUACUUGUAUAGAUUCUACAAAGUACACGUGUAAAAGGUAAAAUCAGCUGUUAAGAGUUAAUUUAAAAUUGUAACUUUAUAAGAAACUAAUGCAGAUAUUUUUCAACAUAUAUUUCAAUUAUUCGGCAAGUUUUUCCAAGGAAGUACAUAUUAACCAUUUCUGGAAGUGUCUGAACAUUUUCUCUUUGUGCAGUAUUGUAACUUACAGAAAGAUAUCCCUUGUAAUGUAUCCCUUUGAUCUACUGACCAGAUGAAUCACUUAAGAGCGAAUCACUUAAUAACGUUCAUUCUCCUGAGAGCAUAGAUAUGAUGGCUAUUACCCACUCCAACCUACCUUUACAACAGGCAUUAUUUUCUGAUUCCUCUUAUCUCAUGAAUUCAACGACCAAAUCAAAAAGGUUUUUCACCCCCUAGGUGAACUAGGGAGUCAGAAAAGCAUAACCUCAAAAACAUAUUUGGGAACAGAGGAUCUGGAUGGUCCAUAAGGAAAGGCAGUCAAGAACAGAAAUCCUUUAAAGCAAACAAGAAAAGCCUCUUAUGUUCUCCAGUUUUGGAUUCCAUAAAGUUAUAUGUCCACUCUAAAGGAUAAUUAGGUAUGACAAUUUAAGAUGGACUAAGCACAAUUUCUCCCAUUUGGAAAUUUUUUCACCUCCAACUGCUGGAAAGUAUUGAGUAUUAUUAAAGGUAAUUAUGCAUGUUUAUUCUCUUUUAUGUAUACAUGUGUGUGUAUAGUAUGUUUGUGGGUGUAUAUACACACACUUGUUUUUUUAAGAUAAUCCAGCUAUAUUUAUGGUAAAAAAAAUAUGCAAGUAAAAACAUCCUCAAGCAUUUGUAUACAUAGUUAAGCAGUUUAAAUUUUAUUGACCUUCUGGUUUUUAAAAAAAGUUAAAUUUAAGGUCACACCUCUAAGUUUGAUGUACUAUAUAUACACAGACCGUGCAGAGUAUGACUAUGAAGAGAUACAAAUUAGUCCAUGCCCAAAAAGAUUUACUAGAGUACAGAAUCAUUUUCAUAAAUACAUAUAAAAUUCUUGUAAAGAUAGAAGAGGACUGACUCUCCAGGUUUUCUGAGACACUUUUCAAAGUGAUUCAAAGCACAUAAUGUGCACUGUUGUGAAUGCAUACAUAUUCUAGACUUUGUGCCUCUAAUGAUUACCAGCCCAUCAAAGAUUUGGCUUCAUGACUUACAAAACUAAAUGUACUGAAAUGAAAUUCUGCUUCUUAGCUGAAAAACCAAAGGACCUAUAAACAUCGUGUAGAUAAUUACUCCAAAAUAUGGAGAUACAAAUUCAAGCACUUUAUUUUAAAAAGCAAACACAAAAGAUAGAUGUAAAUUCAAAGUGUUUAAAUGCUUCCAUUUUGAAUAACUCAGUUAAGAACCUAUACAAGUUUGCUCCCAGAAGCUAAUGCAUCACUAGUCUCUACUAAGGAAAAUGAAUUCUAAAAAUUAACAUGGUUUUCAGUAAUUCAAAUUUUAC